CUUAAAACUUUAUCGAUGCAAAACAAUUUAAUAUUUAAUAAUUGAACAAAACAGAGCAUUUUUUUACAUUAUAAAGUGAUCAAACAAUUAACUGAUUCUUACGUGCAAAGGAGAUAAAAAAAAUGGCUGAAAUGUUCAAGUUUUUUAUUGCUAUGAUCCUCCUUUUUUCCAUGCUUCUUGUUGUAAUUGAUGCUGAAGACAUGUGUCUUUAUGACUUUGAAUGUCCAAAUUAUUGGUGUACGCCUCCUCAAGUUGGACGGUGUAGUGUAUACAAAACUUGUUAUUGCGUGUAUUUGAAGAAUGUCACGGUGAAGUAAAGAGAGUCUUCAAUUUUGUGUAACAAGUAGAUCAAUAUGUCAUGAUGAAAUAAAGGCAGAGUAUUUAGUGGAACUGAACACUUUGUGAUCGUUUGGUUAUUUUGUAUUAUUUGAGGUACUUGUUUUAUGUUUACUAUUAUUAAUGGUCCUAUUAGUUAAUAUGAAGUUUAAUUUAACAUAACAUGUAAUAUGUUUGUGGUACUUGUUGUAAUAUGAAGUCUUAACAUGUCUUAUGAUUAGAUAAUGGUUACUUAA